AUUGAACGCUGACGGCAGGCCUAACACAUGCAAGUCGAGCGGCAGCGGGAAAGUAGCUUGCUACUUUUGCCGGCGAGCGGCGGACGGGUGAGUAAUGCCUGGGAAAUUGCCCAGUCGAGGGGGAUAACAGUUGGAAACGACUGCUAAUACCGCAUACGCCCUACGGGGGAAAGCAGGGGACCUUCGGGCCUUGCGCGAUUGGAUAUGCCUAGGUGGGAUUAGCUAGUUGGUGAGGUAAUGGCUCACCAAGGCGACGAUCCCUAGCUGGUCUGAGAGGAUGAUCAGCCACACUGGAACUGAGACACGGUCCAGACUCCUACGGGAGGCAGCAGUGGGGAAUAUUGCACAAUGGGGGAAACCCUGAUGCAGCCAUGCCGCGUGUGUGAAGAAGGCCUUCGGGUUGUAAAGCACUUUCAGCGAGGAGGAAAGGUUGUUGGCUAAUAUCCAGCAGCUGUGACGUUACUCGCAGAAGAAGCACCGGCUAACUCCGUGCCAGCAGCCGCCGUAAUAC
rnacentral:rRNA from 1 species